GUGCGUUGCCUUCAGCAGCACAUAAACUAAAAUUGGAAUGAUGCAGAGAUUAUCAUGGCCUCUGUGAGAGAAUGACAUGCAAAUUCAUGAUGAGUUGUGUAUUUUG